rnacentral:rRNA from 1 species
UUCCCUUAGUAACGGCGAGUGAACAGGGAUUAGCCCAGCACCGAAGCCUGUGGCCAUUUGGUUACUAGGCAAUGUGGUGUUCAGGUCAUUCCGCAGAGACGCUGCUCCACUCUAAGUCCAUCAAUGAGUACGGUAGUACAGACUUGGCCCACAGAGGGUGAAAGGCCCGUGAGAGUGGAGAAUCAGGCAGGUCAGUGUCUCUCUGGAUAGACCUUGGAGUCGGGUUGUUUGUGAAUGCAGCCCAAAGUGGGUGGUAAACUCCAUCCAAGGCUAAAUACAAGCACGAGUCCGAUAGCGAACAAGUACCGUGAGGGAAAGUUGAAAAGUACUUUGAAGAGAGAGUAAACAGUGCGUGAAACCGCUCAGAGGUAAACGGGUGGAGUUGAACUGCAAGCCCUGAGAAUUCAGCUGGUGGGCGUGGUUUGAGCUUGGUCAAAUGGGUUGUACACUGGGGUCUGCGUAGUAGCAGGUCUCUGCCUUCGGGUGGGGAUGCGCGAGGCACUUAUCAGGUGUUGCGCGCUUCAGUUGUAUUCGGGCCUGCUCGCCAGUGCAUUUUCUCUGGGUGUUCACCACGACCGGCGCUGCUGUCUGGCUGUCAUGGUUAAACCGGUCUUGCUUUGUCCUUGUGGCUUUGCUUGGUCGGGAUGGCAGGUAGCUUGUUGACUCGUCUGGGGCAACUUGGACAAUGGGUCUUCAGGUGUAAUCAGCUGACUGUGAUGGUUCUGUGCAGUGCGUCGGAGACGGCGGCUUGUGGUAUGAACGCGCGUGCCUUGUCUGCUGGCUUGUUCGGGUUUGGUUGCUAUGUUGCUUGUUUCUGCAAGCCUAGCGAUAGCCUGGGCCUGUUGGCGGAUGGUUAUGUGCGGGAUGCUUUUCAGGGCCAAUAGUCUGUGGUGUAGUGGUAGACUUUCCACCCGACCCGUCUUGAAACACGGACCAAGGAGAGUAACAUGUGUGCGAGUCAUUGGGCGUAACGAAACCCACAGGCGCAGUGAAAGUAAAG